rnacentral:rRNA from 1 species
GGUGAGUAACACGUGGGUAACCUACCUAUAAGACUGGGAUAACUUCGGGAAACCGGAGCUAAUACCGGAUAACAUUUGGAACCGCAUGGUUCUAAAGUGAAAGAUGGUUUUGCUAUCACUUAUAGAUGGACCCGCGCCGUAUUAGCUAGUUGGUAAGGUAACGGCUUACCAAGGCGACGAUACGUAGCCGACCUGAGAGGGUGAUCGGCCACACUGGAACUGAGACACGGUCCAGACUCCUACGGGAGGCAGCAGUAGGGAAUCUUCCGCAAUGGGCGAAAGCCUGACGGAGCAACGCCGCGUGAGUGAUGAAGGGUUUCGGCUCGUAAAACUCUGUUAUUAGGGAAGAACAAACGUGUAAGUAACUGUGCACGUCUUGACGGUACCUAAUCAGAAAGCCACGGCUAACUACGUGCCAGCAGCCGCGGUAAUACGUAGGUGGCAAGCGUUAUCUGGAAAUUAUUGGGCGUAAAGCGCGCGUAGGCGGUUUCUUAAGUCUGAUGUGAAAGCCCACGGCUCAACCGUGGAGGGUCAUUGGAAACUGGGAAACUUGAGUGCAGAAGAGGAAAGUGGAAUUCCAUGUGUAGCGGUGAAAUGCGCAGAGAUAUGGAGGAACACCAGUGGCGAAGGCGACUUUCUGGUCUGUAACUGACGCUGAUGUGCGAAAGCGUGGGGAUCAAACAGGAUUAGAUACCCUGGUAGUCCACGCCGUAAACGAUGAGUGCUAAGUGUUAGGGGGUUUCCGCCCCUUAGUGCUGCAGCUAACGCAUUAAGCACUCCGCCUGGGGAGUACGACCGCAAGGUUGAAACUCAAAGGAAUUGACGGGGACCCGCACAAGCGGUGGAGCAUGUGGUUUAAUUCGAAGCAACGCGAAGAACCUUACCAAAUCUUGACAUCCUUUGAAAACUCUAGAGAUAGAGCCUUCCCCUUCGGGGGACAAAGUGACAGGUGGUGCAUGGUUGUCGUCAGCUCGUGUCGUGAGAUGUUGGGUUAAGUCCCGCAACGAGCGCAACCCUUAAGCUUAGUUGCCAUCAUUAAGUUGGGCACUCUAGGUUGACUGCCGGUGACAAACCGGAGGAAGGUGGGGAUGACGUCAAAUCAUCAUGCCCCUUAUGAUUUGGGCUACACACGUGCUACAAUGGACAAUACAAAGGGCAGCUAAACCGCGAGGUCAUGCAAAUCCCAUAAAGUUGUUCUCAGUUCGGAUUGUAGUCUGCAACUCGACUACAUGAAG